rnacentral:rRNA from 1 species
GCUGGCGGUAUGCCUAACACAUGCAAGUCGUACGAGUAGUUUUUAACUCUAGUGGCGGACGGGUGAGUAACACGUGAGAAUCUGCCUUUAGGAGGGGGAUAACAAUUGGAAACGAAUGCUAAUACCCCAUAUGCUUUCGAGUGAAAUGGAUUUAUAUUUAUCCGCCUAGAGAGAAGCUCGCGGCUGAUUAGCUUGUUGGUAAGGUAAGAGCUUACCAAGGCGACGAUCAGUAUCUGGUUUGAGAGGACGAUCAGACACACUGGAACUGAGACACGGUCCAGACUCCUACGGGAGGCAGCAGUGGGGAAUUUUCCGCAAUGGGCGAAAGCCUGACGGAGCAAUACCGCGUGAGGGAAGACUGCCUAUGGGUUGUAAACCUCUUUUUUCAGGGAGGAAUCAAUGACGUGUACCUGAAGAAUAAGCAUCGGCUAACUCCGUGCCAGCAGCCGCGGUAAGACGGAGGAUGCAAGUGUUAUCCGGAAUCACUGGGCGUAAAGCGUCUGUAGGUGGUUUAAUAAGUCAACUGUUAAAUCUUGAGGCUCAACUUCAAAAUCGCAGUCGAAACUAUUAGACUAGAGUAUAGUAGAGGUAAAGGGAAUUUCCAGUGGAGCGGUGAAAUGCGUAGAUAUUGGAAAGAACACCGAUGGCGAAAGCACUUUACUGGGCUAUUACUAACACUCAGAGACGAAAGCUAGGGUAGCAAAUGGGAUUAGAUACCCCAGUAGUC